rnacentral:miRNA from 1 species
UUUGCUGAUCGAUCCAACCAUG